ACUACGAGGAAGAAACUUUCAAACAAUGCCGUCGUCCUUGCUAAGUCUAGUCGUGCUUGCCAUUAACCUCAGCAGUUAGGAGGCGGAGUGCAGGCUCUUAUCUGAGGGUUCCAGUUAGUCUUGGCUUUUGUUUUCCAACCUCUGUGACCAUGCAGGUAUGGAGUUCAGCCAAGGGAGCGGGGUACAUUGCGGAUGCACUGCCCUGGGUGACUGGGGGGGGGUACCAUAGGAGAAUGAAGGGAUCCCAUGGGCAGAUUAGUGUUUUGAUCAAAGCGCAUUGUUAUGAGAGUUAUUGGAUAAAAGAAGUGAACCUCUGGGUCAGCCAGGUCUAUGUAUGGUUUAGGCCAGUGGAGCCCUGUUGCCUGCUGCCUUCUUGUGGCCGGAAUGGAGGAACAAUGCAAGGGAAGCCCAAGAGCCUUCCUCUUCAGUUCCCCUGAGGAUUGGGAAGCAGCCCUAGGAGAUCUGGCAGCACCAGGCCAACGCCCAGCUGGAGUCAGCAUUAACAAUGGCCUCAAGUGAUUGUGAUGUAACUAGCACUUGGCACACAGUUUCACACUCCUUGGCACCUUUCUACAGACACAGAGAUGAGGGGCUCCACCCAGGGUCCCCCAGCUAGCAAGUGGCUAAGCUCUUCUCAUUCCAGACACCCUUAAGUUGGUCUUCAUUUCCGGAACCUUUUGCUCCGGAAGCUGGAACUCCGGUGACUUGGGGACUUGUCUUUGAGGUGCUCAUUCCAGGCCAGAUCAAAAACAACCAAACUUCCCAAAUAGAAAAUCGGGCCCAGCAGCACCAAUUUCUGCCCCCAUAACCUAGCAACUGAUAGAGCUUUCUUCCCAGGAGCUCCAACCAAGUCCUAAGCUUGGCUCCUUGGUCACACGCUACCAUGUUCCCUGAACCAACUACGUGACUGACUGUGGCUGCUGUUUAGCUCUGCAGGCAGAAGACAGAUAUCAAGAAACCAGACUGUGAAAAUUAGAAGUAGUAGAGGCCUGCUUCAUGCUUGGUAGCAAUACCUUGGUGAGAUGGAAGAAGAAUGCGGUUGGUUUUUAAGUGCCCCUGGAGGAAAAUGGGGAGCAACUUGUUUGGUGAUACCUCCCUGGGGGUUCAAAUCUUGAAAACGUGCUAGAAACCAAUGGGUGGUGGUCUUAGUUUCACCAAUUAGAGAUGCCAACCCUGUGUGAUUCCAUUGAAUAUGAGUGCAAAGAUGAGCCUUGACAAGAAAGAAACUGAGCGAUUAAAGACAAUUUUCAGUACAUUUUCCCAUUUUUUCCCUUUGAACAAAGAAGAUAAUAUUCAGCAGGUGCUCUCCGUAAGGAGCAGCUCUUAAAUAAGGUCCUUUUGUGAUUCUCUGCAUUCUGCAUCUAGAAACAAACCAUGGAUUUAGCUUCUAAUGCCAGAGCCAAUGAAAUCAUGCAGAGGAGCAGCUUUUUGGAGGACCUUACUGUACUGUUCUGGAGUCAAACCCAGCUGCUCACCUGUGCUCUGCCGUUCAGUUUGGGAAAGUCCUAUGACUAUAGGAAAGGAAAGCACUGAACUUCCUGGUCAAUGUGGUUAAAGCCCAAGAGCUCACGGCAUCAAAAUAAACUGGAACCAUUCAAUAACGAUGAAUAAAACCUGCAUUCCUAACUGGUUACAUCUAGAUUGAUGGUGGAUGUCCAGCUGUGAACAUACAAACUGGAGACCAUCACACUAAUCAUUUAAGACAGAUGACAAGGCCAGAAGACUAAAUAGCAACUCGACUGAGGAGGAACUGCAGGAACCCUGCUUCAUUUUAUUAAUCAUACUUGGAUCUAACAGCUCAGAGAAAGGAUCUAGACUCAUUUACAAGAUAAACCUCUGGAAUGUCCAUAAGGAGUUUUAGAAGACCCAUCCUAAAUGAGGGUGACACCAUACCAUGGGCAAAGGUCCCUUGGCUGAGUAA
rnacentral:lncRNA from 1 species